GUCCAGCUAGCUUAGUCAGUAGAGCAUGAGACUCUUAAUCUCAUGGUCGUGGGUUCAAGCCCCACAUUGGACA